GAGCGUUCUAUGUGUGGAGAAGGUGUACCGUGAGGAGCGCUGGAACGCAUAGAAGUGAGAAUGCCGGUAUGAGUAGCGAAAGACAGGUGAGAAUCCUGUCCACCGUAAGACUAAGGUUUCCAGGGGAAGGCUCGUCCGCCCUGGGUUAGUCGGGACCUAAGGAGAGACCGAAAGGUGUAUCCGAUGGACAACAGGUUGAUAUUCCUGUACUAGAGUAUGUAGUGAUGGAGGGACGCAGUAGGCUAACUAAAGCAGACGAUUGGAAGUGUCUGUCUAAGCAGUGAGGUG
rnacentral:rRNA from 1 species